AUAAGUUAUAUAUUUUAUUUGUCCAUUUGCAAUACUGAUAAUUUAAGGAACAUUUGUGUUGGAUAAAAAGCGAGUUACAUCAGCAACUAACUCAACAUGUAAAUGUAGUAAAUCACAGAUAAAUCACAGAGGAGACUGACUCUUGUCUGGAUGUUACAGGGACAGAUGAGACACGCGUGUGUUUAUCUGCUGCAGAGAGACUGAUGAAGCAAUGGUGCCAUCAAAGGAUUUGUAUCUUUUGUGGUGGAGCAGGACCUGCAAGGAAAGGUGAAAAAAAAGGAAAAACCUGAAACAAAAGAAUAAAGUAAUGACUUUUUGUAUUGUGUGUGUGUAUUUUUGUAGGAUAGGAACAUGUCUGCAGACUGGUGUGUGCUGUGAGAAUGGAGAAGUCCACAGCAGCAUCCUGGAAAUGGUCCAGCGACACGGAUGAGACACUCCCUCACUCCACCUGCCCUUACUGUCUCAUCUGAGCCGGAUGUUGCUGUGGUCUCUUCAUCAUCAGUGACCCCAGAGCCAGCGAGAGGAUCUAGAGAAAGACCAAAAGACACUGAGGAUUUGAUUUUGGUAGUUGUGCUCAUGGAGAGCAGACACAUGAAUGUUUGGAGCAGACACAGCAGCAGCUAGUCAGAUUGUCCCGCACGUGUUCCUCUGCUCUUGUUUCAAGGUUGAGUGAUUCAGAGAGCUGUCAUCAUGGUCUUCCUUAUCCUGUUGCUCAAUGACAUCCCCAUUGAGAUAAGUGAGAUUGUGAAGCACAGCGCGGCAGCAGAAUGAGCACAGCUGUGUUGAGAUGAUAGUAGGAUGUUGGGUUCACCAUCUGUAAAUACAUGAUUGUUAGAACAAUAAGUUUGAAUGAUGCUUUGUAUCAUGUUGUUGAAUUGUACAUGUAUGCAUUUAUUGUGAUACUAACUUUUAUACAUUAUUUUAAUCAUUUAGACAUGUUUC